UGAGUUUGAUUCUGGCUCAGAACGAACGCUGGCGGAAGGCUUAACACAUGCAAGUCGAGCGCACUCUUCGGAGUGAGCGGCAGACGGGUGAGUAACGCGUGGGAACGUGCCCUUUGGUUCGGAAUAGCCCUUGGAAACGAGGAGUAAUGCCGAAUGUGCCCUUCGGGGGAAAGAUUUAUCGCCAAAGGAUCGGCCCGCGUUAGAUUAGCUAGUUGGUGAGGUAACGGCUCACCAAGGCGACGAUCUAUAGCUGGUCUGAGAGGAUGAUCAGCCACACUGGGACUGAGACACGGCCCAGACUCCUACGGGAGGCAGCAGUGGGGAAUCUUGGACAAUGGGCGCAAGCCUGAUCCAGCCAUUCCGCGUGGAUGAUGAAGGCCCUAGGGUUGUAAAAUCCUUUCGGCAGGGAAGAUAAUGACGGUACCUGCUAAAGAAGCCCCGGCUAACUCCGUGCCAGCAGCCGCGGUAAUACGGAGGGGGCUAGCGUUGUUCGGAAUUACUGGGCGUAAAGCGCGCGUAGGCGGAUCGAUCAGUCAGAGGUGAAAUCCCGGAGCUCAACUUCGGAACUGCCUUUGAUACUGUCGAUCUGGAG
rnacentral:rRNA from 1 species